rnacentral:rRNA from 1 species
CCUACGGGUGGCAGCAGUGGGGAAUAUUGGUCAAUGGGCGCAAGCCUGAUCCAGCCACGCAGCGUGAAGGAUGACUGCCCUACGGGUGGUAAACUUCUUUUAUAAAGGAAUAAGGUGAGGCACGUGUGCCUUUUUGUAUGUACUUUAUGAAUAAGGAUCGGCUAACUCAGUGCCAGCAGCCGCGGUAAUACGGAGGAUCCGAGCGUUAUCCGGAUUUAUUGGGUGUAAAGGGAGCGUAGAUGGGUUGUUAAGUCAGUUGUGAAAGUUUGCGGCUCAACCGUAAAAUUGCAAUUGAUACUGGCAGCCUUGAGUGCAGUCGAGGUAGGCGGAAUUCGUGGUGUAGCGGUGAAAUGCUUAGAGAUCACGAAGAACUCCGAUGGCGAAGGCAGCUUACUAAACUGCCACUGACAUUGAUGCUCGAAAGUGUGGGUAUCAAACAGGAUUAGAUACCCCUGUAGUC